UACUGAGGGGGCAAGCGUUGUUCGGAAUUACUGGGCGUAAAGGGCGCGUAGGCGGCCUGCUAAGUCGAACGUGAAAUCCCCGGGCUCAACCCGGGAACUGCGUCCGAUACUGGCAGGCUUGAAUCCGGGAGAGGGAUGCGGAAUUCCAGGUGUAGCGGUGAAAUGCGUAGAUAUCUGGAGGAACACCGGUGGCGAAGGCGGCAUCCUGGACCGGUAUUGACGCUGAGGCGCGAAAGCCAGGGGAGCAAACGGG
rnacentral:rRNA from 1 species